GGCGGUGCAGUUGAUGAUGGAGAGGGAGAGGGAGAGGGAGAGCGAGAGGGGGAGGAACGGUGGUUCUGCUGUUGCGAUAUAUUUUUUUCUUCCUUUUUUCCUCUUAAAUUGGAUGAAAUAAUUGAUUGCAAAUAGUCCACACAGAAAACAUUACUUCCAGCUUCAGGUCAGCAUCGCGCCGGACUCCCAUUCUUGUAUCUUAAAGCCCAAAGAUAACUUAAUUCGACUUUUUGGGCUGUUGAUGCACAAAACUAUGUAACUGGACUCUUUGAAGUAAAAUGAACAUCCCUUCAGAUAUGGGCAUUGUAGCUCAAAAACCCUUUAAUUGCUCUUUAAUU
rnacentral:misc_RNA from 1 species